GAUGAACGCUGGCGGCGUGCCUAAUACAUGCAAGUCGAGCGAACGGACGAGAAGCUUGCUUCUCUGAUGUUAGCGGCGGACGGGUGAGUAACACGUGGAUAACCUACCUAUAAGACUGGGAUAACUUCGGGAAACCGGAGCUAAUACCGGAUAAUAUUUUGAACCGCAUGGUUCAAAAGUGAAAGACGGCCUUGCUGUCACUUAUAGAUGGAUCCGCGCUGCAUUAGCUAGUUGGUAAGGUAACGGCUUACCAAGGCAACGAUGCAUAGCCGACCUGAGAGGGUGAUCGGCCACACUGGAACUGAGACACGGUCCAGACUCCUACGGGAGGCAGCAGUAGGGAAUCUUCCGCAAUGGGCGAAAGCCUGACGGAGCAACGCCGCGUGAGUGAUGAAGGUCUUCGGAUCGUAAAACUCUGUUAUUAGGGAAGAACAUAUGUGUAAGUAACUGUGCACAUCUUGACGGUACCUAACCAGAAAGCCACGGCUAACUGCGUGCCAGCAGCCGCGGUAAUACGUAGGUGGCAAGCGUUAUCCGGAAUUAUUGGGCGUAAAGCGCGCGUAGGCGGUUUUUUAAGUCUGAUGUGAAAGCCCACGGCUCAACCGUGGAGGGUCAUUGGAAACUGGAAAACUUGAGUGCAGAAGAGGAAAGUGGAAUUCCAUGUGUAGCGGUGAAAUGCGCAGAGAUAUGGAGGAACACCAGUGGCGAAGGCGACUUUCUGGUCUGUAACUGACGCUGAUGUGCGAAAGCGUGGGGAUCAAACAGGAUUAGAUACCCUGGUAGUCCACGCCGUAAACGAUGAGUGCUAAGUGUUAGGGGGUUUCCGCCCCUUAGUGCUGCAGCUAACGCAUUAAGCACUCCGCCUGGGGAGUACGACCACAAGGUUGAAACUCAAAGGAAUUGACGGGGACCCGCACAAGCGGUGGAGCAUGUGGUUUAAUUCGAAGCAACGCGAAGAACCUUACCAAAUCUUGACAUCCUUUGACAACUCUAGAGAUAGAGCCUUCCCCUUCGGGGGACAAAGUGACAGGUGGUGCAUGGUUGUCGUCAGCUCGUGUCGUGAGAUGUUGGGUUAAGUCCCGCAACGAGCGCAACCCUUAAGCUUAGUUGCCAUCAUUAAGUUGGGCACUCUAAGUUGACUGCCGGUGACAAACCGGAGGAAGGUGGGGAUGACGUCAAAUCAUCAUGCCCCUUAUGAUUUGGGCUACACACGUGCUACAAUGGACAAUACAAAGGGCAGCGAAACCGCGAGGUCAAGCAAAUCCCAUAAAGUUGUUCUCAGUUCGGAUUGUAGUCUGCAACUCGACUACAUGAAGCUGGAAUCGCUAGUAAUCGUAGAUCAGCAUGCUACGGUGAAUACGUUCCCGGGUCU
rnacentral:rRNA from 1 species